CUUCCAGCGGCGCACAGCAAUGGAGCUCGCUGGCAUCGGCAUCCCCGAGAACGGCGGCUGGCCGGAAGGAAGCUUCCUCCCUCCCUCCAUCAAAUUGGGUCCCCAAGAUCUCGCCGCCAACGGCAUCCAUGGCCGGCGAGUGGAUCGAGGAGACUGUCGGCCGGCGACCGGAGAGGAGGAAGAGGAUGGGGAAGCCGGUCACGCGCGUGCCAGCGGCUGUCCUUCACGGGGCGGCGGUGGCGGCGGCUUGUACUUUAUUGUUCUUUAAACCUUCAGUGACCGUCAUGGCAUUUGGGUAAGAUCUCGCAGGCUGCUGCACAUAGGAAGGAGUAUCAGGGUAGAACAAAGAGCUUGGAGUGCAGUUGAUUUAUUUUGGUGCAUGCGGUUAAUGGGUAAGUGACUUAAAUUCCUGUGUGGUGCCACACUUUUUCUUCUAUGCACACGGCUCAAAUCGCCAACCAAACAGCCUGCUAGAAAUUUCAGCGCCCGCAAGGAAAGAAAGGAAUACUUAGUCUUGCUCUUCUUUGAAGAAAUGUAUCUCAUCAUAUAGUGCUCAUUUAAGUCUUUCAGCCCUUACAAGAAAGGCAUCUCUCUGCUCUUGCUCUUCUUCUAAGAAAGGCACAAAUAAAAAGGCAGUAUUUUUAAGCAUAAGCAGAAGCAAUGUGGCUUAGACAAACAUAUCCCAAGGCAUUUGGCUGGAAGUAAUCGAAGUGCCCAUCUACUCUAUUCUAAGGACAACUCUGAUCAGUGGCGCGUUAUCAGCUAGAUGUAUCAAGCUCACCAAUAACAAUUCAAGGAGCCAAGUCAACCAUUAGUGAAAAAGCAGGCAAUG